rnacentral:rRNA from 1 species
CCUACGGGAGGCAGCAGUGGGGAAUCUUGCACAAUGGAGGAAACUCUGAUGCAGCGAUGCCGCGUGAGUGAAGAAGGCCUUUGGGUUGUAAAGCUCUUUUGUAGGGGAAGAUAAUGACUGUACCCUAAGAAUAAGGUCCGGCUAACUUCGUGCCAGCAGCCGCGGUAAUACGAAGGGACCUAGCGUAGUUCGGAAUUACUGGGCGUAAAGCGCGCGUAGGCCGUUGAGUUAGUUAAUUGUGAAAUCCCAAAGCUUAACUUUGGAACUGCAAUUAAAACUGCUCGACUAGAGUUUGAUAGAGGAAAGCGGAAUACAUAGUGUAGAGGUGAAAUUCGUAGAUAUUAUGUAGAACACCAGUUGCGAAGGCGGCUUUCUGGAUCAACACUGACGCUGAGGCGCGAAAGUAUGGGUAGCAAAGAGGAUUAAAUACCCUCGUAGUCCAUACCAUAAACGAUGAUUGNUANAUGUGUAAUUAUUUACUAUAUCGCANCUACGACAUAAGUACAUACCGCCGUCGGGUAGGUACGACCGACGAACGUAAACGUAACGAAAUAGAAGUUAGUAACGGUCGUGUUAGACGUGCCGAACGGACGACGACGAGGGAGGAGG